rnacentral:sRNA from 1 species
UGAAAAAAAUUACCAGAUUCUUAUUUUCAUUUCUAAUGUAGACGUCUUAAAAAUAUACUAGCAAUUUGGAACUACAAAUAUAACUUGAUAGCAAAAUAUUUAAGUAAUCUGACCUCACUUUGAGUUUAACUGUAGCCAUAUAUACUUUUGCUUCUUUUAAAUCCAUGACAGUAAUGGUAUCGUCAUAUGGUUUGCAAGUACCUUUUGGAAAUACUAAUACAUUUAUCAGAUCAGUAGUCGGUUGUUUAUCAGUGUUAAUGUUCCUUAAACUAACUCAAAAAUUGCUGCCAUUACAGAAAAAAGCAUUUGCUCGAAGGCAGUCUCUUGGAUAAAAAAAAAUAGAAGAAGUGCAUGUUGUGUCCUAGAGUUACUGAAAGAUCCAGACAACGAAAAUGAAUAAUCAUGCAUUGUUCCUGUGCAUUCUUAUUGCCCAGCUAACUACUUACCAUCUAUUUUCAAAGGGACCAACAGAAGUAAAAGUGAUUUUGACGUCACUUUUUUAGCAUGAUUUGUGAUUUAUGCUGAUUUUUUUUUAUAGUUUAAUAUAUGUUUCUGCAACAUGUUAGAACAUGGGAUGAAAACAGUCUUUUAAAUUUCAGAUGACUUUGGAAUGUGUAAGGCCAGAAAAUAAUGGUUCUUUACUCAAACAUUGCACAUUGUCCAUUUUUUUUUCUCUGAAAGCUUCGCCACAUUAUUCAGAUUUUGAUAGAAAGAGUAUUGGAAGUGCAAGGCAAUACAUACUUUAUAUUAAGAGCAUACUAAAGUAAAGAUAUUUUUCUGCAGUAUUUUAGUAAGCAAAAGUAGGAAAGUACGAUUGAUUGCCUCUGUGUGUUGAUUAGUUGGUGCUAAUUUCUGUGUAGUCCAUUCCUAAACACGAUUUGUUACAUAUUUUAAGUAAGGCAUUCAUUUGAUUCUUGUUUGAAAUCAAGAAGUAAUGCCUAAAAUAAAUUGAGUGUAAACUCUAAGGUCACUGUCAUAAAUACAUUUCAUACGUUGCACAACAUCCAAUUUGCCCGUUUUUAGUCUUAUAUUUGUGUAAAAUAUCUUUACCAUAUCAUUAAUAACUGUUUGUUUGUAUAUAUCCUUACUUGUAUAUAAGUAUUACUAGAACAGUUGAAUGUGAUUAUAUAUGUGUGUAAUGUGUACAUUUUGCAACGAUAUUAAGAAGGGGUAUUGUUAUUCAUGUCUUGAAAGAAUUGUUUCAGGGCUUGCCUAUGUGUGUCAUUGAUUGUCUCCCCUUGAUGCCAUUCAGAAACAUUUUGAAAGUCUCCUAACAGUUGUUGCUUGUCACAAUAAUUUACUUUGUUUCAGGAAAUUGUUUCUUGUUGAUGCUAGAUGAAGCUAACUCGACUCAUUUAAGUUUGGUUUGAUUCCCCCUUUUCCCGAGCUCACUCGAUAGCAAAUAUAAGAAAUGAUCUUGUGUACCUAAAGUCAAAACACAUUUUGACAUAUUCUCGGUAUUUGAAUUUUCGAUAUCAUUAUUUUGGGUCAUUUUCUCAUUUCUCAUUGAGACUGCAUUUUGAAUUUGCAUCAACCAGAAUCUCAGAUAGUAUAAAUGUUGCAUAUUUGUUAAUAUAAUAUAUUUCUAAUGGUUUUAAUUUGAAUAUUAUUAUCAUUCAUACUAAUUAUAUAAUUUGAUAAGUUGUUAUUGUGGUGAUUUUUCCAACAAAGGGGAGAUUACUGUCAGUGAUAUAGCAAUAAAGGUUAAACAAAU